rnacentral:lncRNA from 1 species
GCCCUCUUGGCUCCCGGGCCCCCUCCUCCUCCUCCGAGGCUAUCUCUGCCUGGCCCCAUGGCCGUUGUGAAGAGGUCAUGCCCCUGCUACUUUUGCUUGCCCUCCUGGCUGGGGCGCCCUCUGUGUCAUCCACAUGACGUCUUUCACUGGGAUCUGACCCUCGGGGGCACAGGCGUCUUGGCAGAGCCACCAGCUGGACCUCAGCCGCUUGUUCUAACUCAGUUCCAGACCCCUUGGAGAACGUGAUGAAAGAAAUGCAGAUGAAGCAGCCCCGGCUCAUUAUGUAGGUCAAAACCUACCAAAUUACAACUUGGGCGAAUCUUGAAAACAUGCUGAAUGAAAGAAGCCAAAUCCAGAAGACCAUCUGUGACUCCAUUUAUAUGAAAUGCCCAAAAUGGGCAAAUCUGCAGAGACAGAAUAGUGUUUUAAAAGAGGAAGGAAAUUGUUUGCCACAUGCUACAUUGGAGAUGAACCUUGAGAACAUCAUGCUGAGUGAAAUAAACCAGACACAAAAGGACACAUUUGAGCAAGUCACGUGGUCCAACCCACAAUCAAAAGAUAAGGAAGCAUCCUGGGCUUAUCAUGAAGCCAUGACAGGAGGGGCUGCAUACCUUCCACGUUUCCUGAUUUCAUGGAUGAGGAAUCUGCCCGUCUCUCUGUAACAGCAGUUCUCAAAUUUGUCUGCAUAUUGAAAUAAUCUGAGAGGUUAGAAAAAUAUCGGUUUCUGUAUCCUACCUGCAGAGAUUGUGAUUUAAUUAGUCUGGUGUAUUGUCUGCAAGAGGAAACUUUUCCUUCUUUUUUUUUUUUUUUUAAGAUUUUAUUUAUUUAUUUGACAGAGAGAGAGAGAGAGAACAAGCUGGGGGAGCGGUAGAGGGAGAGGGAGAAGCAGGGUCCCCGAUGAGCAGCAGCCCCAUGAGGGACUCAAUCCUGGGACCCUGAGAUCAUGACCUGAGCAGAAGGCAGACGCUUAACUGACUGAGCCACCCAGGCGACCCAAGAGAAGAAACUUUUCUUUAAAAGAUCUCUAGUUGGCUGGGGCGCCUGGGUGGCACAGUGGUUAAGCGUCUGCCUUUGGCUCAGGGCGUGAUCCCGGCGUUAUGGGAUCGAGCCCCACAUCAGGCUCCUCCGCUAUGAGCCUG